GUAAAUUAUUGCAGCUUCUUCUGGAAAAAAAAUUGGUAUCAGUCUGGAUGAUAGUAUGAGAACGUAAAGUGUUGGAUAAAAAUAUGUGAUAUUCGUUUAAGAUGUGACUUAACCACAAUGUUUUAUGGGUGCAACUUGAGAUAAAGAAAAGCUUCAUCCUUUAAGGAAAUUUUUUAUAAUUAAUGAAAAUAGAAGCAUUCUCAGAAAGAUCUUGUAAGAAUUGCUCUGACCAUUCUUGGUGCGAGAAAGAAAUUUUAAAGCAUGCACCAUUCUAUGAACAUAAUGGCAGUAAGUUGAUUAUAGGCAGUCAUGCAACUGGA
rnacentral:misc_RNA from 1 species